rnacentral:snoRNA from 1 species
GGGAUAUGAAGAGUGGUCAUCACUCGCAAGCUUUGCGAGAUGGGUGUCCGCCCCACGCCUGGUUACGACAGCCUGGGCACUCCCAUUUUUUACCAUCUGAUCCC